rnacentral:rRNA from 1 species
UACGUAGGGGGCAAGCGUUGUCCGGAAUCAUUGGGCGUAAAGAGCGUGUAGGCGGCUCGAUAAGUCUGCUGUGAAAGUCCAGGGCUCAACCCUGGAAGGCCGGUGGAAACUGUCGGGCUAGAGUCCGGAAGAGGCGAGUGGAAUUCCCGGUGUAGCGGUGAAAUGCGCAGAUAUCGGGAGGAACACCAAUGGCGAAGGCAGCUCGCUGGGACGGUACUGACGCUGAGACGCGAAAGCUAGGGGAGCGAACAGG